GGUAAAAUGGCUGAGUAAGCAUUAGACUGUAAAUCUAAAGACAGAGGUUAAACUCUUUUUACCA
rnacentral:tRNA from 1 species